AGUGAACGCUGGCGGUAGGCCUAACACAUGCAAGUCGAACGGCAGCACAGUAAGAGCUUGCUCUUACGGGUGGCGAGUGGCGGACGGGUGAGGAAUACAUCGGAAUCUACUUUUUCGUGGGGGAUAACGUAGGGAAACUUACGCUAAUACCGCAUACGACCUACGGGUGAAAGCAGGGGAUCUUCGGACCUUGCGCGAUUGAAUGAGCCGAUGUCGGGUUAGCUAGUUGGCGGGGUAAAGGCCCACCAAGGCGACGAUCCGUAGCUGGUCUGAGAGGAUGAUCAGCCACACUGGAACUGAGACACGGUCCAGACUCCUACGGGAGGCAGCAGUGGGGAAUAUUGGACAAUGGGCGCAAGCCUGAUCCAGCCAUACCGCGCGGGUGAAGAAGGCCUUCGGGUUGUAAAGCCCUUUUGUUGGGAAAGAAAAGCAGCAGGUUAAUACCCCGCUGUUCUGACGGUACCCAAAGAAUAAGCACCGGCUAACUUCGUG
rnacentral:rRNA from 1 species